rnacentral:misc_RNA from 1 species
GAUGAAGAACGUAGCGAAAUGCGAUACGUAAUGUGAAUUGCAAAUUCAGUGAAUCAUCGAGUCUUUGAACGCACAUUGCGCCCCCUGGUAUUCCGGGGGGCAUGCCUGUCCGAGCGUCAUUGCUGCCCUCAAGCACGGCUUGUGUGUUGGGCCCCGUCCUCCGAUCCCGGGGGACGGGCCCGAAAGGCAGCGGCGGCACCGCGUCCGGUCCUCGAGCGUAUGGGGCUUUGUCACCCGCUCUGUAGGCCCGGCCGGCGCUUGCCGAUCAACCCAAAUUUUUAUCUAGGUUGACCUCGGAUCAGGUAGGGAUACCCGCUGAACUUAAGCAUAUCAAUAAGCGGAGGA